GGUCACGAUAACAUCACCCACCCGUAGCACGCGCUCCAGCAGGUAUAUCUCACUGGUCACGAUAACAUCACCCACCCGUAGCACGCGCUCCAGCAGGUAUAUCUCACUGGUCACGAUAACAUCACCCACCCGUAGCACGCGCUCCAGCAGGUAUAUCUCACUGGUCACGAUAACAUCACCCACCCGUAGCACGCGCUCCAGCAGGUAUAUCUCACUGGUCACGAUAACAUCACCCACCCGUAGCACGCGCUCCAGCAGGUAUAUCUCCCUGGUCACGAU